GUGGGAAUGGCGCUAGAGAGUUCUCAGUUUAAUGCCGUGUAUUAUGACAGCAAGAUGGUAUAGCUGCAGGUGGGAAUUUACUAUGACUCAGUUAGCAAAGCGGGUCUCACCUGCAGAGGAUAUGAUAAAAUAUUCCAGAGCCCGAGGAAGAGAAAUAAACCAAUAUGGUUAUUUCUAUGAUGAAAGAGUACUGCUUGCUUGGACAAUGAUGUAGUUUAUGAUGGACUUUGGAUAGCAACUUCCGUUCCAAAAUUCUGGAGUCUCUUACCUCUUGAUCGAAGUUCCAUGGGGAUGACGUCCAAAUUCCAAGACUCCUGUUGACAAGAGGUUGAGUACAGAUACAUGAUGACAUUUCUGCCAUCAGGAUGCACUAUUUAGAACCCAUUGUGGGUUUGGUCAUUUGUCACCCAUUCUUUUUAAUA